rnacentral:lncRNA from 1 species
AUUUAAAUAUCUCGUUUUUAUCAAUUAAAAUGUACCUUACGGUAAUUUAACUAAAUAUGAAAGUUAUAUAAAAUAUUAUUUAAUUUUGUUUUUUUUUAAUUAUUUUGAUCUGUUUUGUUAUUAAGUCUUAAUAAAAAAAUUGGAAUUCGUUUGAUUAAUUGUGUGAUAUAUACUUAUUUGAUUACUUUUUUAUUAUAAACUUAUUUCAUGUCAAUUUACUGACUCUAACAUUUUAUUUUAUUUUGAUAUAAAAUUAAUGAAUUAUUUUAUUUAUAUUUUCAUAAACAAAAACUGCAUCCAUUUAAAUAUAUUAAA